CUGCAGUGCUCUCCCCUGUGAGCUCCCAGCUCUCCUGUUCUGAAAUAGGAACCGCCUUCUCUGGGGCAAAGGAGCAGGAAAGCUGGCACAAGCCCUGUCCUGCUUGUAUGGGUUAUCUGUUGCUGUGUAAGAAAUGGUCCGCCAUCGGGGGCCUUCCCUUGGGUAGGGAGGGAUUUGGGAGCUGCUGAGCGUGGAGACUAGCAUGGGCGUGCACAGGGGCCGCUGUCAUCUGCAGCUGGAGAAUUCCACCUUUUUCUGUGGCUAUCAGCAGGAUCCCUUCCUUGAUCAUGCCCCCGUGGGUCUCUGGGGUAGAUGUUGUACCAGAGAACCCUGCUUCCUCCUGAACUUGAUACCAGAGAAGGAGGUGGAGGAAGAAAGUUGCAGUGCCUUUAAGUCGCCACGCCCUAAAAUGAGGAAAAUGAGAUGAGGGAGGUGGAGGCAGUCACAGCCAUAAGCUCAGUGCAUUUUGCUAUCAGAACAGCCUUAUAGCUGGGACCAAACCAGGGUACAAGAUAGACCUCUACCUGCUUGUCUUAGGGAGAGGUGGCAGGAAGUAAGGAUUCCCAGAUUGCAUCCUCAGCUGCCAUCUUCUCAAGAAUGCUUGCUCUGUAAGUCUCCGAGGUAGCCACCUUAAGCAUUGUUUACCACUUCUGGUUUCCUUUAGCUAAGAAUUGACUAAAGAAAUUGGGGGCAUUUCUGUGGAACUACACAAGCUUUCUAAAUAAGAACAGGCUUAGAUUCUGCAGGUUCCUGAGCUGCAGAACAAGAAGCAGUUCUCUUUCCCUUCUGCUGAUGGUCUGGAAGCCAGGGGCCACCUGAGUCAGUGCAUUAGUCAAGGUCUCCCACCCAGAAGCAACUUCUCCCUGAGCCAGGAACACCCGAGAAUGCAGAUGUUCGUGCACUUGAUAGCCCUGGUCAGUGUGGCAUGCAGACUAGCGUAUUGCCUCCUGGGUGCCCUGUUGGAAGUGUGCUCUUAAAAAACCCUGUAAGAGAAGCUUAAAAGGUAGCUCUCCAGUGCCUCACAGGACGGCUGCUGCUUCCUGCUAGCCGGUCUCACCUUCCUUAGGUGGAAGCUCUUGUUGGGUUUGAUGCGUUGCCCUUCUCUAACAGUCUCUUCCCUGUAGCCAUGCUUGUUUAGUGUGUACUUGAGGUACUAGUGGAUUGUGGGUUUCCUUCUGAUCUGAGGAGGGGCCCGGAAUGGCUUGGAUACUGUCUCCUUGGGCUUCUCAGGCCUUCUCACUGGAGCUGUGUUGCACUGAAAGUCCAGCCAGCUCGUACAAGGCUCUGGUGCUGGCAGUCAUGUAACAAGGAUGGAACCUUCUUCCCAUCUCCACCUUGAAUGUUGGCUGCCUGAGGGUGUGCCAUAAUCCAUUCAUUGCCUCCAGAAGGAAAGCACCGCUGUCUUCAUGUGGCUCAAGCCCUUUGAUGUGUUUUCUGGACUCCAUGCCCAUGGCAGCUAUUUAUCAAUCUGCGAAACUCAAUCACUGACCUGUCCUUCCCGAGGGAAGGUGGGGCCUUCCCGUGUAGCAGGGGACACCGUCUCUUGGGGAAGAAGGUUCUGUCUGAACUUGGAGUAGGUGUGGUUGCCCUAACCCCUAGCCUCUGGCGUUUAGUGCCGGGAAUUCGGGUUCCUCAGUUGGCUUGGUCCUUCAGUGCUUAGCAGUGUUUCCUUCUCUGGUAAUGGGUUUCCACGUGGUGGCUUUAAUGAGGCUAGCUCACAGAAACUUGACUGAAGACUGUAAGGAUGACUGACAGGUCCUUAUUUUUCCAUUUGACCAACCAAGACACCUUCGCCACCCUCUGAAACUGUAGCUUUCCUCCAGGCGGGUUCUGGGACCUGGUGCCUAUUGGCAGAAAGUAACUCUAGUCUUCAGGGGGCCAUGGUUCCUCCCUGCUUGCUCAGCUCUUCUUGUAGCCCUGGUGGCCGUACUGCAUGCCCAGUAGUGGGAGGGUGGCAGCAAGAGGCUGGAUGCCUGGUGGACACAUGGCUGUGCUGGUGUUUGCCCAGGGAGCCCCUAUCAGGGCUUCAGACCCAGAUCCCAUGAAUCCAGCACAGAAUGCCCAUGCUUGCCUCUGCACCCCCUUCCUCUCCACUUCAGUCUUCUGAAAACUGCCCAGC
ensembl:lncRNA